rnacentral:rRNA from 1 species
UACAGAGGGGGCAAGCGUUGUUCGGAAUUACUGGGCGUAAAGGGCGCGUAGGCGGCCUGUUAAGUCGAACGUGAAAUCCCCGGGCUCAACCCGGGAACUGCGUCCGAUACUGGCAGGCUUGAAUUCGGGAGAGGGAUGCGGAAUUCCAGGUGUAGCGGUGAAAUGCGUAGAUAUCUGGAGGAACACCAAUGGCGAAGGCAGCUCGCUGGGACGUUACUGACGCUGAGACGCGAAAGCGUGGGGAGCAAACAGG